GUCCACGCCGUAAACGAUGGGUGCUAGGUGUCUCGGGUAUUGACCCCUGAGGUGCCGUAGCUAACGCGUUAAGCACCCCGCCUGGGAAGUACGGCCGCAAGGCUAAAACUCAAAGGAAUUGACGGGGGCCCCGCACAAGCAGUGGAGCAUGUGGUUUAAUUCGACGCAACGCGCAGAACCUUACCCGGGCUAGAAAAGUACGGAACCCUUUAGAAAUAUCGGGGUGCUCGCAAGAGAGCCGUAAUCCAGGUGCUGCAUGGCUGUCGU
rnacentral:rRNA from 1 species